rnacentral:lncRNA from 1 species
CAGGAUGGCUACAGGGGCCUGGAUUUGGGUAUUUGCCUUCCCUCAGGUUUGUUAGGAUCUGAUAAAAUCCUAGUAGGGUUAGGCUUUGGUAAAAUAGUUUCUCUUGAGGACAGGCCUUGUUAAGAAGAACAGAAUGUUCUGGAGUAUUUCAAAAUUACACCUUUACUUUACUAUUCCUCUCCCUCUUACCAUUACUUUUCCCUCUUCCUGCUGGAAGCCCAAGGAGAUUUUUCUCUGAUGUUCACUGUGAGAACUCGGAGGAACUCCUGGAGGUAAAGUGUAGGCAUCCCCCUUGCAAGUGGGCCCUCCUGGAGCUUUAACUCCCAGACUUGUCCACACGGAGCCUCCAGCAAUUCAUCAACUACAGUUCAGGUUUUUCUAGCCUGGUAUUUGUUCCUGCACAGAUUUCUUUUUAUGAGUUUCUGCUCCUGUAAGUUGAUUCUCUGUAUCCUCCUGUCUAGGACUACUGGUUUGCUCUGCAAAUUUAAUUUUCUAACAAAUCUAAGAAGAGGUACUGAUUUUUGUUUUGUCAAGUUUUAACUUGUUAGGACAGAGUGAUGACUCCUAAGGUCCUUAUGUGCUAGAUGGGGCAAGCUUCUUUUUAUUUCAAAGGCUUUUCUAAUUUUCUCUUAAGGCAUUAUACAUUGUGAUUACUUGCUCUUGUGUUCCUUAUAGUAUAAUAUUUAUUCUUGAAUAAUGUAUUUUAAAAUUUGAAUUCUUUGCUGAAUUGCGUCACUUCAAUUUUUUUUAUCUUUUUGUUUUUCUCUUUUCUCAAAUAGGAAGUACUGUCAUUCUGACAGCAGGUUCACCCAAAGGGUACACCUUGACUUUGUAAUAGUAUCCCUGACUGUUCUGUUAAAUUUCAAAAUGAGAAAACUCUUUUUCGUCUAUUGACAGAUAAUGUGCACCCAAAUUAAGUGUGAGUGGGGGUCUGACUGUAUGUCUAAAGUGUACAGGCAGAGAUGAAUGUGUGUGGCUUUAGCAGAUCCACACUCAUCCAGGGAUAACUGGACCAUGGGGGCAGGGUGGGAGUGGAGAGAAGUCAUCAUAGGAUGGUAAUCAGGUGCUUGCAGGGAGAAGAGAAGGAAAAGCAGAUGAGUGAACAAGGGCAGAUGGUGCUGGAGAAUUCCAUCAAGUGGGCAUCAAGAAGGGACUGGAGGUUAAAACCUUUGGGAUAAAGAAGAAGAAAAAAAGACAAGCUGAUGGCACCUGGGCACUGUUUGCUGGGCACAAACAUGGCACUGUUUCCUAGGAGAUGAUUCCUCCAGUUCUUUAAGGUAGUAAUGAAUGACAACAAGAAGUUACUUCUCUAUGCUACACACGGUGUAGAAUCCAGAGCCUGACUGGCUGUGACGCGCCCAUGGUGACACCAAGGGGACUCUGCAUGGGCACAUCCCGGCCCUCCUCCCUGCAUGUUCUCCAAGCCAGGUCUUUGAAACCUCCAGUGAUGGGAAUGACAGAAUCUGGGAUGAUUUUCUUCUGUUUCUUAUCUAAAAAAACAACAAAAAGCUCAGCAUACACGGACUCACACAAACCUUUUGCUAGAGGCAGCUCUGUAGACUUAAGACGCUGUCAUUUUUCAGAAGAACCCAGCUUGCUUUGGAACUACAGUCAGCCCUGCAACCCACCCUCACCUUGGACCCUGCUGCUGCUGUCUGUAAAGGGUCUGGAUGAAGGAAGGGAGCCUCCAGCUUGUCGGCUGUACUUGCCCAGAAUUUAGCCUUUGCAACAUGGAGCUGCGGGGAUGGGAAAUGUUGUCCACUAGCCUUCCACAAUGCUGCGAUGAAUACACCUGUGCAUUCUUUUUUAGAACAAGUGUAAGAAUUCCUAUGUGGCUGGACGGUACUGCUGCCAUCUCGGCUCACUGCAACCUCC